rnacentral:rRNA from 1 species
AUGUCACAGAUCACUGCCACUUUCAUGGCCCUUGCCUUGUGCUUCGCCCCUGCAGUGGGUGCAGCGGCGACUCUCUCGGCGCGGCGUCCGCUGCGGGGCAAGGACACGCUGGCCUCAGCACAGGGCAAGUUCGAGCUCGGCCUCUUCACCCCUGCUGGUAGCUCCGGCGACAGGUUCUACCUCGGGAUCUGGUACAAGAACAUCCCCGGCCAGACCAUCAUCUGGGUGGGCAACCGCGUGAGUCCCCUGUCUUCUGUCGCCUCCGCUGAGCUUCGUGUGUCCGCUGAAGACGGCAACCUCGAACUUGUCGGUCCAACCGGCGCCUCUGCCUCGCCGGCCGUCGUCUGGUCUUCGAACCUGCCGUCUUCCUUGUCGCCAGGCUCAAAAAACAUGGCGGAGAUCCGCGACAACGGCAACCUGGUCCUUGUCGACGGCGGCAACUCCUCCAACGUGCUGUGGCAGAGCUUCGACCACCCCACGGACACGCAGGUGCCCGAAGCGUGGGUCGGGGAAAACAAGCUCACCGGUGAGUACCAGGCGCUGACGUCGUGGCGAAACGCCCAAGACCCCGCACCGGGGAUGUUCAGCGACACCCUGGACCCCAACGGCACCAGCGAAAUCUUCUUCAUGUGGAACCGCUCCUACGUGUACUGGCGGAGCGGCGUCUGGACGGGGAGCUUCUUCGCGAGGCUGCCAGAAGCGCCGAAAAACUUCAUCUACAAAUCGACUUACGUCGAGACACCGGCGUAUCGGCGCGUCAUCAACGUGCUCUACGACAACGCAACCAUGGCGCGCCACGUGCUCGAUCUCACAGGCCAGUUGAAGAUGUACGUCUGGAUGCCCACGAGCCAGAGCUGGCAAGUCUUGUGGACCGCGCCCAUGGUGUCGUGCGACGUGUACGCGCUUUGUGGCACGUUCGGCCUUUGCGAUCAGAGCGGCAAGCUACCUUGCGGGUGUCUGCCCGGGUUCGCUCCGGUGUCAGAGUGGAAUUGGACGCUCAGCGACUGGAGCGGUGGGUGCCACCGGAGCUGGCCGCUCACAUGCGCACCGAACGGAUCGACAACGGAUGGGUUCCUGGCACUGCCAGACGUGAAGCUCCCUGAUGACUCCCCCGCCGUGGGCGCUGCCAAGAGCAAACUAGAGUGUGAAUCGACUUGUCUAAAGAGCUGCUCUUGCCAAGCCUACGCCUUCUCUGCCGGGGAGUGCACCGUCUGGCACGGAGAGCUCCGCAACCUUCAGCGACUCUAUGUGGACUCCGACAGCCCCGGGUCAGACCUUUAUCUUCGGCUUUCAGAAAGAGGAUUGCAAGACCUCCGUGGCAGCGUAGACAGGAAGAAAAUGGGGAGAAAGUUAUGGCUUGUUCUUGGCAUCGUAUUGGCCGGUGUUGCAGCAGUGGGUGCGUCGGUCAUACUAGCCUGGAGAAUUGUUCUUGCCCGGAGGAGGAGACUGACUAGAAUGGCAAACGUGAAUGGGUCCUCCUUGGCCGUGUACAGCUAUGGCGACCUGCGUGCUGCCACGAAGAACUUCUCGGACCGGCUCGGCGGCGGAGGCUUCGGGUCAGUGUACCACGGCGUCCUGAAGCAGCAUAAGGGAGACAACUCGACCCAUGUUCAGGUGGCAGUCAAGAAGCUGGAAAGUCUCGGGUGGCAGGGCGACAAGCAGUUCCGGACCGAGGUGAGCACCCUGGGGCUUAUCCAUCAUGUGAACCUCGUCCGGCUCCUCGGGUUUUGCUCAUCGGCUGACGAGAAGAUGCUCGUCUACGAGUACAUGCCCAGAGGCUCCCUCGACAGCCUCCUCUUCCGCGACGAUGCGUGCCUGAGCUGGCGCGACCGACACUGCAUAAUGGUCGGUGUGGCGAGAGGGCUGGCCUACCUACACCUUGGCUGCCGCGAGUGCAUCAUACACUGUGACAUCAAGCCAGAGAACAUCCUGCUGGAUGAGGACAUGUCCCCGAGAAUCGCCGAUUUUGGGAUGGCGAAGCUGGUGGGGAGGGACUUCAGCCGCGCGCUGACGACGAUGCGGGGCACCAUCGGGUACCUGGCGCCGGAGUGGAUCUCUGGGCAGCCCAUCAGCACCAAGGCGGACGUGUACAGCUUCGGGAUGGUGCUCUUCGAGCUCAUCUCGGGACGACGAAACUCUGAGGGAUACAGUGAGGUGGAGGCGGCAAGAAGCGGGUGUAGUGAUUCGUGGACCUUCUUCCCAGUGUGGGCUGCAGGAAAGAUUGUUGAUGGGGAAGUCGGCGCCGUGGCAGACCCACGGCUACGCGGCCAGGUGAGGCCGGAGGAGCUGGAGCGGACGUGCAGGGUGGCGUGCUGGUGCAUCCAGGACGACGAGGCAUUGCGGCCAACCAUGGCGCAGGUCGUGCAGGCGCUAGAGGGCGUCGUCCAUGUCCACGCGCCGCCGGUGCCGCGAGUGCUACAGCACAUCGUCUCAUGA